rnacentral:tRNA from 1 species
GCCUCCAUAGCUCAGCUGGAUAGAGCACGCGCCUUCUAAGCGCGUGGUCGGGAGUUCGAAUCUCUCUGGGGGUG